UGUAGGGCAAACAUUUGAAUUUGAGUAUGAAAAAUUUAGGGCGAAAAUUCCAAAAAACGCCCAGAGCUUAGGACCGCAAUUGUACACAUU